rnacentral:rRNA from 1 species
UACGGGAGGCAGCAGUGGGGAAUAUUGCACAAUGGGCGAAAGCCUGAUGCAGCUAUGCCGCGUGUAUGAAGAAGGCCUUAGGGUUGUAAAGUACUUUCAUCGGGGAGGAAAAAACAAAACUAAUAAUUUUAUUUCUUGACGUUACCCGAAAAAGAAGCACUGGCUAACUCCGUGCCAGCAGCCGCGGUAAUACGGAGGGUGCUAGCGUUAAUCAGAAUUACUGGGCGUAAAGAGCACGUAGGUGGUUUUUUUAAGUUCAGAUGUGAAAUCCCUGGGCUUAACCUAGGAACUGCAUUUUGAAACUGAAAUACUAGAGUAUCGUAGAGGGAGGUAGAAUUCUAGGUGUAGCGGUGAAAUGCGUAGAUAUCUGGAGGAAUACCUGUGGCGAAAGCGGCCUCCUAAACGAAUACUGACACUGAGGUGCGAAAGCGUGGGGAGCAAACAGGGAUUAGAUACC